AUCUCCUGGCUCAGGAUGAAUGCUGGCGGCGUACUUAACACAUGCAAGUCGAACGGACCAUUUAAAACUUGUUUUAAAUGAGUUAGUGGCAAACGGGUGAGUAAUACAUAGGUAACAUGCCUCUAAGUCUGGGAUAACUUUUCGAAAGGAAAGCUAAUACCGGAUAUUCUUUUUCUUUCGCAUGUUGGAAAAAGGAAAGAUUUAUUGCUUAGAGAGUGGCCUAUGCCUGAUUAGUUAGUUGGUAAGGUAACGGCUUACCAAGACUUUGAUCAGUAGCUGGUCUGAGAGGAUGAANAAGCCCACACUGGGACUGAGACACGGCCCAGACUCCUACGGGAGGCAGCAGUGGGGAAUAUUGCGCAAUGGGCGAAAGCCUGACGCAGUGACGCCGCGUGAGUGAUGAAGUCUUUAGGGAUGUAAAGCUCUGUCAAGAGGGACGAUCGUGACGGUACCUCUAAAGGAAGCCCCGGCUAAAUACGUGCCAGCAGCCGCGGUAAUACGUAUGGGGCGAGCAUUAUCCGGAUUUAUUGGGCAUAAAGAGCACGUAGGUGGUAGAUUAAGUCUUAUGUGAAAGGCAUUGGCUCAACCAAUGUUUGCAUUAGAAACUGGUUUACUAGAGGACAAUAGAGGGAAGCGGAACUCACGGUGUAGCGGUGAAAUGCGUAGAUAUCGUGAGGAACACCAGUUGCGAAGGCGGCUUCCUGGAUUGAUCCUGACACUGAGGUGCGAAAGCAUGGGGAGCGAACGGGAUUAGAUACCCCGGUAGUCCAUGCCGUAAACGUUGUU
rnacentral:rRNA from 1 species